rfam:Neotoma lepida isolate 417 scaffold_23, whole genome shotgun sequence.
CUUUCCAACUGCCUCCCAAAGGUGUCCAUGGAAACAAUGAUUCAUCCUGGUGUGCUGGUGAAUCUUGAGCAGGACAGUCUAAGGGGCAGGUCUUAAAAGUUUAUCUUGACCAAUGACAAAAUUCUAGCUUCCCAGC